UUUGGGGUCAGUAACCCCUUUUGGGGUCCGUAACCCAUUUUGGGGUCUGUAACCCAGUUUUGGGGUCAGUAGCCCAGUUUUGGGGUCAGUAACCCUUUUUGGGGUGCUAGCUCAGUUUUUGGGGUCAGUAACCCAUUUUGGGGUCAUUUUUGGGGUGCUAGCUGAGUUUUGGGGUGCCAGCUCAGUUUUGGGGUGCUAGCAGAGUUUUUGGGGUCAGUAACCCAUUUUGGGGUCAGUUUUGGGGUGCUAGCUGAGUUUUUGGGGUCAUUUUUGGGGUGCCAGCUCAGUUUUUGGGGUCAGUAAUGCAGUUUUUGGGGUGCCAGCUCAGUUUUGGGGUUCCAGCUGAGUUUGUGGGGUGGCUGCGCUGGCCCUGCCCCGCCGGGGUUUGGGGUCUCUCUCGUGUCUCUGAUAAAGGCUAUGGGACAGCCCCCGGGCCGGGGGGGCUUUGCCGGGGCCGAGCGGCCCCCCAACCCCUGCCCCCCAAAUCGGGGGGCCCGGGACCCCCCGCUCGGCCCCG